UACGGGAGGCAGCAGUGGGGAAUAUUGCACAAUGGGCGCAAGCCUGAUGCAGCCAUGCCGCGUGUAUGAAGAAGGCCUUCGGGUUGUAAAGUACUUUCAGUCGUGAGGAAGGUGUUAAGGUUAAUAACCUUAGCAAUUGACGUUAGCGACAGAAGAAGCACCGGCUAACUCCGUGCCAGCAGCCGCGGUAAUACGGAGGGUGCGAGCGUUAAUCGGAAUUACUGGGCGUAAAGGGCACGCAGGCGGUUAAUUAAGUUGGAUGUGAAAUCCCCGGGCUUAGCCUGGGAAUGGCAUUCAAGACUGGUUAGCUAGAGUCUUGUAGAGGGGGUAGAAUUCCAUGUGUAGCGGUGAAAUGCGUAGAGAUGUGGAGGAAUACCGGUGGCGAAGGCGGCCCCUGGGACAAAGACUGACGCUCAUGUGCGAAAGCGUGGGGAGCAAACAGGGAUUAGAUACC
rnacentral:rRNA from 1 species